GAAUAUAGACUGGAUCUAGAAAAUACAAUGCUGACCCUUACCUCUCUCUGUUACCUCCAGUUCACUCACAAGAUUAUUCAUGUUUUAGUCUUUUUUCACCACUUCCUACAGUCCUUUCUCUAAAGGGCUCCUGUACUGUCAGGCAGCUGGCCUCUCAGUCUGUCAUGGCCAGGAUUAGAUUCAGAUUAUGCAAGCACUAUUAUGACAUCAGUGUGACUGCAGCAUACCUCACAAUCUGCUGCUGACCAGGGUAAAUAUUUUAAGGAGGAGAGUGACACUCAGAGACUGGCUCAAAGGGUCCUCCAGCGAAACUUAAGUCAGCGUUCUUUCAGCAUCAUUAAAAUGGAUUUAGAAGACAACUAUGAACCACCCUGAUAUUGCAGAGCAGCUAGCCACAUGCCCCUUUAAUGCCCGCCAUCAGGUUC